GAUGAACGCUGGCGGCGUGCUUAACACAUGCAAGUCGAACGAGAAAUGGAGACGUACACCUUCGGGCGGAAGGCUUCAUUUCGAGUGGCGCUCGGGUGAUUCCCGCGUGGGUAGCCUGCCUCCUACAGGGGGGUGACAGUUGGACACGACUGCUAAUACCGCAUAAGACCACACCUCCGCACGCUCCGGGGGUAAAAACUCCGAUGCGAUGAGAGGGACCCGCGUUCGAUUAGCCAGUUGGCGGGGGAAAGGCCUACUAAAGGGACGAUCGAUACCCGAGAUGGGAGGAUGGCUGGCGACACUGGGACGGGGACGCGGUCCAGACUACUGCGGGAGGCAGCAGUGGGGAAUAUAGCACAAUGGGGGAUACCAUGAUGGAGCGACGACGCGUGAGUGAAGAAGUACGGCGGUAUGUAAAGCUCUAUCAGCAGGGAAGAAAAUGACGGUACCUGAGUAAGAAGCCCCGGCUAACUACGUG
rnacentral:rRNA from 1 species